AAUUUUACAUUGUCCUUAAUGCAUUAAAGGAAUGACUGUCUUAUUGUAAACAGCUACACUAGUAAUUAUUUUAAAAAGAUUACCAUAUUAUCCUACUAAUACAAAGCCAUUUUUUAAAUGUUCAGGUAUAAUCGUAAAAGCAAAAUUACAAGCGCUGAACAAUCACACAAAAUAUUUGUUGAAAAAUGAUAUGUAUAUAAAUAUAUGUUAUAGCUGCAAAAAAUGAUCCAAUUCGUACUCAAAUUUUGACGAAUCGCUUCAAAAUCAGUUAUCCACACCCCCAUUACCUUGUCCAAAUGGCAAGAAACUUUCAGUGCAAGUAGCUGUAUAAGCAUAGGAUGUGGGAUUAUACGAAUUGCCUUCAGAGUCGACGAAGCUAAAAUCAAACCCACCUUUACCAGCUCCAUUUGCAACGACAAAUCUGACUGGGACGUAAGUGUCUGCAGUCAAGGAACCCAUGCUAAAUGAAGCAAUGCCGGUUUGGCCGUUAGUAGCAUGCCAGUAAGCAUAGGUAUCGUAAUUUGUGUUGGACCAUCCGGAAAUAGCCUUGUCACCGAACCAACCAUAAAAUACAUCAUCAACGUUAGUGACGUCCAAACUAAAUGUAUCUGUAACAGGAACCCUGAAAAAGAAUUGAUAAACAAUAACCUUACAGGCAGAGCUCGUACUACCCAUAGCAGUAGCGUCUGGUGGAUAACCAGGAAGAUUAUAAGAAGAAGUCCAUUGAGGCACACUAUCAGAUGAACUCAAGACACCAGUGAAUAGAGGAGAGGAUUGGUCAAGGUCACUAGAUCCAAAAUAGGCUGGCUGGGUGAAAGAAGAAACAUCUGUUACACCACUAGUUGCACAAAAUUGGUUUUUCGAAGAGGAAAUAUCAUAGUUAUAAACGGCAUAUUGCAAACCACGCUCACCAUUGCAUACA